rnacentral:rRNA from 1 species
GUUAAGUCAGGCAACGAGCGAGACCCACGUCCACAGUUGCCAGCAUACCCUCCGGGGUGGAUGGGUACGACUGUGGAGACCGCCGCUGCUAAAGCGGAGGAAGGAGUGGGCAACGGUAGGUCAGUAUGCCCCGAAUCUCCCGGGCUACACGCGGGCUACAAUGGUUGGUACAAUGGGCAUCUACCCCGAAAGGGGAAGGAAAUCUCUUAAAGCCAAUCGUAGUUCGGAUUGAGGGCUGCAACUCGCCCUCAUGAAGCUGGAAUCCGUAGUAAUCGCGUUUCAACAGAACGCGGUGAAUACGUCCCUGCUCCUU